rnacentral:tRNA from 1 species
GUAUCGGUUGCAGAAUGGUAAUGCCACGCAGCAACGUGAGGGGGGAACCCUUGCGGGUUCGACUCCCGCCCGAUGCG